rnacentral:ncRNA from 1 species
UUGAGAAGGAAGCGGAUGCCGCCGUUGCCUAUGCUGAUUGUAGGAUUGCUGCUCGCUCCUGUCUUCUGCUACUCAUUCACAGACCUGGUCGUGUUGAGCAUUUGUUUGGCAUAUGUUAGUGGUGUUUCCUACUUUCAGUCGUCAGCAUCACUGGCUGAGUGGAAAUAAUCCUUGGAUGCUAAUUGGUUCUCUAUCUGUGAAUUGGUUGCUUCCUUGCGAUACUCACUACUCGGUCAGUGAGGAAGUGCGUUUGCUGGUCAACGAGCUUUCUAACUGUCAUUACCCUGCGCUUUUCUAUUCGUCUAGUGACCAGGAUGUGGCUUUGAGAUUGUUCGCACUUAGAAAUCCCGAUGCUGGCUUCCAACGGUUGCCUCCAGCCCGUCUUGAAACACGGACCAAGGAGUCUAACGUAUGUGCGAGUGUGUGAGUGGCAAACUUAUACGCGUAAUGAAAGUGAGGCCGUAUGGCCAUGUUGGGGUCACCAACAACCGACCUUGAUCUUCUGUGAAAGGUUUGAGUAUGAGCAUAUCCGUUAGGACCCGAAAGAUGGUGAACUAUGCCUGAGCAGGGUGAAGCCAGGGGAAACUCUGGUGGAGGCUCGUAGCGAUACUGACGUGCAAAUCGUUCGUCAGACUUGGGUAUAGGGGCGAAAGACUAAUCGAACCAUCUAGUAGCUGGUUCCCUCCGAAGUUUCC